CCAGACUCCUACGGGAGGCAGCAGUGGGGAAUAUUGCACAAUGGGGGGAACCCUGAUGCAGCGACGCCGCGUGGGUGAAGGAGCACCUCGGUGCGUAAAGCCCUAUCGGCAGGGAAGAAACAGACGGUACCUGACUAAGAAGCCCCGGCUAACUACGUGCCAGCAGCCGCGGUAAUACGUAGGGGGCGAGCGUUAUCCGGAUUCACUGGGCGUAAAGGGAGCGCAGGCGGCACGGCAAGUCCGGUGUGAAAGCCCGGGGCCCAACCCCGGGACUGCACUGGAAACUGCCGGGCUGGAGUGUCGGAGGGGCAGGCGGAAUUCCUAGUGUAGCGGUGAAAUGCGUAGAUAUUAGGAGGAGCACCGGUGGCGAAGGCGGCCUGCUGGACGACGACUGACGCUGAGGCUCGAAAGCGUGGGGAGCAAACAGGAUUAGAUACCCGCGUAGG
rnacentral:rRNA from 1 species